UACGUAGGGUGCAAGCGUUAAUCGGAAUUACUGGGCGUAAAGCGUGCGCAGGCGGUUGUGCAAGACAGAUGUGAAAUCCCCGGGCUCAACCCCGGGAACUGCGUCCGAUACUGGCAGGCUUGAAUCCGGGAGAGGGAUGCGGAAUUCCAGGUGUAGCGGUGAAAUGCGUAGAUAUCUGGAGGAACACCUGUGGCGAAAGCGGCUCACUGGACCAUAACUGACGCUGAUGCACGAAAGCUAGGGGGAGCAAACAGG
rnacentral:rRNA from 1 species